GAUGAACGCUGGCGGCGUGCCUAAUACAUGCAAGUCGGGCGAACGGACGAGAAGCUUGCUUCUCUGAUGUUAGCGGCGGACGGGUGAGUAACACGUGGAUAACCUACCUAUAAGACUGGGAUAACUUCGGGAAACCGGAGCUAAUACCGGAUAAUAUUUUGAACCGCAUGGUUCAAAAGUGAAAGACGGUCUUGCUGUCACUUAUAGAUGGAUCCGCGCUGCAUUACCUAGUUGGUAAGGUAACGGCUUACCAAGGCAACGAUGCAUAGCCGACCUGAGAGGGUGGUCGGCCACACGGGAACUGAGACACGGUCCAGACUCCUACGGGAGGCAGCAGUAGGGAAUCUUCCGCAAUGGGCGAAAGCCUGACGGAGCAACGCCGCGUGAGUGAUGAAGGUCUUCGGAUCGUAAAACUCUGUUAUUAGGGAAGAACAUAUGUGUAAGUAACUGUGAACAUCUUGACGGUACCUAAUCAGAAAGCCACGGCUAACUACGUG
rnacentral:rRNA from 1 species